AACGAACGCUGGCGGCAUGCCUAACACAUGCAAGUCGAACGAGACCUUCGGGUCUAGUGGCGCACGGGUGCGUAACGCGUGGGAAUCUGCCCUUGGGUUCGGAAUAGCAGUGAGAAAUUACUGCUAAUACCGGAUGAUGACUUCGGUCCAAAGAUUUAUCGCCCAAGGAUGAGCACGCGUAGGAUUAGGUAGUUGGUGGGGUAAUGGCCUACCAAGCCGACGAUCCUUAGCUGGUCUGAGAGGAUGAUCAGCCACACUGGGACUGAGACACGGCCCAGACUCCUACGGGAGGCAGCAGUGGGGAAUAUUGGACAAUGGGCGAAAGCCUGAUCCAGCAAUGCCGCGUGAAUGAUGAAGGCCUAGGGUUGUAAAGCUCUUUUACCAGGGAUGAUAAUGACAGUACCUGGAGAAUAAGCUCCGGCUAACUCCGUGCCAGCCGCCGCGGUAAAAC
rnacentral:rRNA from 1 species